rnacentral:rRNA from 1 species
GUCCACGCCCUAAACGAUGAUUACUCGACAUUAGCGAUAUUACUGUUAGUGUCUAAGCGAAAGCAUUAAGUAAUCCACCUGGGAAGUACGACCGCAAGGUUGAAACUCAAAGGAAUUGGCGGGGGUCCGCACAAGUGGUGGAGCAUGUGGUUUAAUUCGAUGAUACGCGAGGAACCUUACCUGGGCUAGAAUGCAUUUUGACCGCAGGUGAAAGCCUGUUUUGUAGCAAUACACAAUUUGUAAGGUGCUGCAUGGCUGUCGU